UCUCCGUUGGUGAACCAGCGGAGGGAUCAUUGCUGGAACGCGCCCCAGGCGCACCCAGAAACCCUUUGUGAACUUAUACCUUACUGUUGCCUCGGCGCAUGCCGGCCCCCCCGGGGGCCCCUCGGAGACGAGGAGCAGGCACGCCGGCGGCCAACCUAACUCUUGUUUUUACACUGAAACUCUGAGAAUAAAACAUAAAUGAAUCAAAACUUUCAACAACGGAUCUCUUGGUUCUGGCAUCGAUGAAGAACGCAGC
rnacentral:misc_RNA from 1 species